GGAGGUGUGGCUCAGUUGGUAGAGUGCUGGCCUAGCAUGCCUUAGGUCCUCAGUUCGAAACUNAGCACUUCNU
rnacentral:tRNA from 1 species